UACGGAAGGUCCGGGCGUUAUCCGGAUUUAUUGGGUUUAAAGGGAGCGCAGGCGGAGAGGCAAGCGUGCCGUGAAAUCGCGGGGCUCAACCCCGUCGAGCGGCGCGAACUGCCCCCCUUGGUUGCGGGAGAGGAAGGCGGAACUCGUGGUGUAGCGGUGAAAUGCAUAGAUAUCACGAGGAACUCCGAUCGCGAAGGCAGCCUUCCGGCCCGCCAACGACGCUCAUGCUCGAAGGCGCGGGUAUC
rnacentral:rRNA from 1 species